rnacentral:rRNA from 1 species
GCCGCGGUAAUUCCGGCUCCAAUAGCGUAUAUUAACGUUGUUGCAGUUAAAAAGCUCGUAGUUGAAGUGUGGGUGAUCGCUGUUGUGAGACUUCGGUCUCUCGACAGUAAGUCACCCCCUUCCAGUAUCCAGUAGUGGGUAUUCAGUUACUUACUAUUGUGUGUUGGUCAUUUACUGUGAGAAAAUUAGAGUGUUCAAAGCAGGCGUUUGCUUGAAUAGAUUAGCAUGGAAUAAUAAUUGAAGGCUUUCGUGUUCGAUUUGAUUGGUUUGUUCAUGGAAGCAAGGUUAAAAGGAACAGUUGGGGGUAUUCAUAUUCACUAGUUAGAGGUGAAAUUCUCGGAUUUAUGGAAGAUGAACAAGUGCGAAAGCAUUUACCAAGGAUGUUUUCAUUAAUCAAGAACGAAAG